CACCAACCCCUCGAGUGGUGGGGACUAUUAUUUGGCCUAAAGCGUCCGUAGCCGGCUGUAGCCGUCACCCGUUAAAUCCAGCGUCCUAAGCGUUGGACUGCGGGUGAUACCCUACAGCUAGAGGGUGAGAUAGGUAAGCGGUAUUCCUGGGGUAGGGGCGAAAUCCUUUGAUCCCAGGAGGACCACCAGUGGCGAAGGCUGCUUACUAGAACACGCCUGACGGUCAGGGACGAAAGCUGGGGCAGCGAACCGG
rnacentral:rRNA from 1 species